rnacentral:rRNA from 1 species
GACGAACGCUGGCGGCGUGCUUAACGCAUGCAAGUCGAACGGUAAGGCCCUGCUUUUGUGGGGUGCUCGAGUGGCGAACGGGUGAGUAACACGUGAGUAACCUGCCCUUGACUUUGGGAUAACUUCAGGAAACUGGGGCUAAUACCGGAUAGGAGCUCCUGCUGCAUGGUGGGGGUUGGAAAGUUUCGGCGGUUGGGGAUGGACUCGCGGCUUAUCAGCUUGUUGGUGGGGUAGUGGCUUACCAAGGCUUUGACGGGUAGCCGGCCUGAGAGGGUGACCGGCCACAUUGGGACUGAGAUACGGCCCAGACUCCUACGGGAGGCAGCAGUGGGGAAUAUUGCACAAUGGGCGGAAGCCUGAUGCAGCAACGCCGCGUGCGGGAUGACGGCCUUCGGGUUGUAAACCGCUUUCGCCUGUGACGAAGCGUGAGUGACGGUAAUGGGUAAAGAAGCACCGGCUAACUACGUG